rnacentral:tRNA from 1 species
GCGCAAUUGGUCUAGUGGUAUGAUUCUCGCUGUCAGUGCGAGAGGCCCCAGGUUCGAACCCUGGAUUGCGCC